ACACAAUCGUUAUGUGCUAAGAUAGAUUUGACAAGCUUUUCUCCGUUCCAAAUCUUGAUCAAUUUAUCGGCUGAACCUGUUAUAAAGAUAUCCUCACCAAGGGCAAGAACAGCCCAAACUGAGGAUUGGUGCCCUUUAAGUACAUAUUUACAUUGGCCUAAAGCCCAUACUCUAGCCGUACUAUCCCAGCUUCCAGUAAUAAUUGUUUCGCUAUUUAAUGCAGAUGCAGAACAGAUGUUGGACUCAUGUCCAAACAAAUAAUAAGAGGGUGAAUUAGUGCCUACUUCUUGAAGAAUACCACAUUUGUCUUGUCCGCCUGAAAAUAUGUAACCUUUGUCAAAGUUAAUAAAUAAAUAAAAUCAAUAUCAGUAAUUACCCCUAGAGUUUUUAUCGAUCGCCGGCACAUAACAAACACAAUUGACAAACCCUUCAUGAUUUUCGUAAAAAUGGGGCGUCCAUUCUCCAUUGAUUUGCUCCCAGACACUAUAAGUUCCAUCUCGAGAGGCAGAUCCUAUCAAUUCAUUGGAAAUACUGCAAACACCGCGAACCUAAUAUAUAUUUGUUAUUGAACAUGUUCAUGAUUAUGGUAUUAACAAAUAACCCUUUCUUCAUACAUCUUGUUUAUGGCCACCUAGCUCUCGUGAAAGUUCAUAAGAGGUCAUUUUCAGUCUAUUAAGGAUGAUUAUGAGAAGCCAAUAUAAAGGUAUAUUUGCUUUUCGCAGAAGGAAGUUAAACAGGCUUUCACAGCUUAUACAUAGGAACAACUUGAUAUCAUUGACAUCGUUAGAAUCCCUUAAAAGAUUACUUCUAGCUGUAGUUCGAGCACAUUAGAAUACCAUGGAAAAUACAAUAGUUUGAGGACUCAAAUUAUAAUUUGCAAAUAUUAAAAAUACACAUAUAUUUAUUUAUAAGGUGGUUUUGGUAGAAUUUUCACAACACUUAAUUAUUAGUCUUACCAAUUGGGAAGAAGCACAUUUAACUGGUUUGCUGCAGCAAAUUAAUAUAUCGAUUUAUCCUGACUAGUUGCUUAAACUAGCAAAAAAACUGCAAA